rnacentral:rRNA from 1 species
UACAGAGGGUGCGAGCGUUAAUCGGAAUUACUGGGCGUAAAGGGCGCGUAGGUGGUUUAUCAAGAUGGUUGUGAAAUACCUGGGCUUAACCUGGGAAUGGCAAUCAAGACUGAAAGACUAGAGUGCGGUAGAGGGUAGUGGAAUUUCCGGUGUAGCGGUGAAAUGCGUAGAGAUCGGAAGGAACACCAGUGGCGAAGGCGACUACCUGGACUGACACUGACACUGAGGCGCGAAAGCGUGGGGAGCGAACAGG